CCGUCUUUAUUUGGAGCUUCCUAGCUUCUAAUCUUUCUACAGAGAAUGUCACAUUAACUAGAUAGUUGAUGAUGAGGUCUUGCUAGCUUGAGGUUGUGUUGCUUGUAACACCUCAGCUGCCAAGUUUUUCUUCUAUGCUUGGCUUUCCCAAAUACUCAAUCAGGAUGAAGUGUUUGAAUUAGUAGUCCAAAGCAGAGCCUAAGGCUGCCAAGGCGUCUACGUGAGCGUUGUCUGCCUGUGGCACUUGUGUGAAAAUGUAAGUCUGAAAUGCCUCAAGCUGCUUUCGUACCUUCUCUAGGUAUAGUGCCAUCCUUGGAUGCUUUGUUGCAUACUUCUCAGUAAUCUGGCUAGUGAUGAGCUGAGAAUCGGAAUAGAUUGCGAGCUUCUUGACUGCCAGAUCUUGUGCCAUUCGGAGGCGAACUAAGCCUGCUCUAGAGCCCUUGUAGUUGGAUGAACCGUCGA
rnacentral:lncRNA from 1 species